ensembl:lncRNA
AGAUAGAGAUACAGAGAGAGAGAGGUCUUCCAUCCACUGAUUCACUCCCCAGUUGGCCGCAAUGGCAGAGCUGCGCUGAUCCAAAGCCAGGAGGCAGGAGCUUCUUCUGGGUCUCCCACAUGGGUGUAGGGGCCCACGGAUUUGGGCCAUUUUCCACUGCUUUCCCAGGCCAUAGCAGACAGCUGCAUUGGAAGUGGAGAACCCAGGUUUCAAACUGGCGCCCAUGUGGGAUGCCGGCACUUCAGGUCAGGGCGUUAACCCACUGCACCACAGCAUCAGCCUCCUUCCCAUUUUAAAUCAUAUGGUGACAUGAAAAUUGUUUUCCCCAUUGUAUAUUAUUAAUGAAUUAAAAAUUAUUUAGAUUCAUCCAGUUUUACUUUUAAAUAAUUUUCUAAGUAAUGCUCCUAAGAUGUGACAUCCAAGAAAUUGCACUUAUGUAUUAGUCUCUUCCCCCCCCCCCCCCCCCCCGCCACUUGCCUGUCCAACUUCUCCCUGCCUGGCCCUGCUGUUCCAUUCCGCCCCGGGGUUGGUUUUUAGGGCACCUCUGUGCACAUCUCUACCUUGGCCGCUUCCCCGGGAACCUGCCCUAGCACAGCGGCCUCAGGGCCCAGCACUCCUUUCCCAUUUGUUGUAUAGUCACGUCCACAGGGCUGGGAGCCCCGGACGCAAAGGCCCUGGAGCAAUGCCUGGUGCAUGAUGGUAGGUACCCGAACCGGCAGCUCUUCUUGGAGAGUCAGAAGUUCGCGAUUCCAUCUUCUCCAGCUGGAGAGAUUGCAGAGGACUCCCAGGAGGGCGGCCCCUGCCCCCUGGACCCUGAGCCUGCAUCUGAUGCUCCUUGCGUGCGCUCUGGGCACACCUCUGCUUCUCAUGUCAUCAUUACAGAUGCAGGAGCUGGAGUGUGUGCAGCCAACAGCCAGGAGGCGAGGUGUCAGCCGCCAGGAGAAAACCGCUCGCCUCCAGCUCCCGGCACGCCGCCCGCAGCUCCGUGAAGGGUCUCUCGGCCCACGCGCCUCUGGAAUGGAAAACAGAUUGGAAGGCAGGCGCAGGCUGCCAGCUGGGUGCUGUUCAGACAUCUGCCGGCCAUCAGGAGCCACCUCGUGUUCCCGGUCCUCUCGCAGCUCGCUGCACGAGAACAGGAGCGAGUUUCUCCAGGGACCACGGGCCUGUGAGUGCACAGAGUGUGCUGAGCGGCUUGCUGUGGGAGGCCUGGCUCAGCCUCGGGGGACAGCAGGGCACUCAGCCCACCGACCCCUUUUUUCAGGCAAGUGUCCAGUGCAACUAAAAUCCUAACGCACCCUAACGCACCCCGCGGAAAUCCAGCCGCUGCUCAGCCGGGGGUCACAGAGCUCCCGUGUCUGAGCUCUGGGGACUUCGCUGGCUGCCGCUGUGUUCUGGCCACUUCCCCCCGUGGCCCGAGAAAUCGUUUUCUCUGUCCGUCAGGCAUGGAUGACCUCUCUGUGCUUCCACUGGUCCAAGCUGGUGAGGGGUUUCAAACGCUACCCACACUGCCAUCUCUGGCUGUCCUUGUCGGCCAAGAAAAUUCCGUACGAAAGGGACUUCAAGAGCUCAUGAAAAUGAGAUUAGAAGGUAAGCUGACUUUGGGGCUGUUUUUGCAUGGUAUGCCCGUCCCAUGGAUGUUUUGAAUACACCUGGUUUGCAAAGAGGGGGUGGACAACGGCCAGGCCUCGUGAACACAGAACUGUGUCCUGCAGCUGGCGGCUUCCCGUCCAGGAAGCCAGCCCCUCACCUGCACACCCCACCCCGCAGACAGCCUGCUGUCCAUCAGCUCCCAAGUGACAACUCAGGAAGCAAGAUGGCAGCUUCUCUAACAUGGCCAGGACCUGUUUAAUAAGCGCUUUCCUCAUUGUUGUCCCUCUGGGUGCCUGCACACAGGGAGAGCCCUGGGAGGCUGCGGGCCUGGAGACAGCCGCUGCAGCAGCUGGCCGCCGCCCUGUGCCUUUGGCCUGCUCCUCGGAGCACAUGUCCUGUGGCUCCCUCUGACCUGCACGGGCUGAUUGCCUGCCUCCACUGGGUCCUGAUGCUGAUUUUUCAGCCAUUCUGGGCACUCAGAGGCUCAGGGCCUGCAGGUGUGCCCAGCAGUGGGACUCAUUUCCAACAUGAGAGUGGGGCAGCUUCCAAGGAGGGGGCUGUGAAAAAAAGUGCACGGGAAAUGCAAAUUAGGAAAAUGCGAAGCAAGGAUUUCAAACUUUCUGCACCAAAGUAAAUUCACCUUUUAAGUCCGCUUUUGCAUGGACGUUUUGAAGGCCCUGUGGGGAGGGGCAGGACAGGAGGCUCCCUGGGUGGAGGUCGGUGAUCCAGCUCGGCCUUCAACCCAGAGCCCCUGCUCAGGCAAACAGACCAGACUCACUUGAAAAGGCCCCCACCGCAGCCCCAGCACCUCCCUCAAGGGGAGCGUACCCAGUGCAUCCUCCCACCCUUCCAGAAAGUCCUGGAAAGCGUGCAGUCCUCCAUCCUAUUCCAUUUCCAGGAAGUUUAGCACACCUAGCAGAGCGCAGCCGGGCCCUAACGGCUCUGCCUCCCUGUGGCUGGUCUGGGAACUGGGGGUGGAAGUUACCUGGCUGCCUCUUUACCUUUAAGUGAUGCCAUUAUUCAAGUCCCAACACCUCCAGUUGUCUCCUCCAUCAGCCCGUCCAGCUCCCUGGUCUGCUACUAAGAGGGGCGCCGUGAGAAGGGCGGGCCAUCCCUUCCCAGUGGAGUGGCGGUGCAGUGGCCAGCAGCCCGGGACUCUGACUGCUACACCGCAAAGCCCGAAAGAUGAAGAGAAACCGCUUCGCAGGCGCAGGCGACGCUGGGCUCUGCCUUCCCUGCAAACCCACGAGGCGGCUUUCACGCCUGACUUUCGAACGCCUCGACUGAGAGGGAGCAGGAUCUGUGAUGACUCAGCACUUUUGUUCUAAGUACUGCGGGGGGGGGGGGGCAGACUCUGUGGAUGACUGAGCACCUUCGAUGUAAGUACUGCUCUGUCAUCAGUGUGCUCGCGGGAGCAGGGAGAAGGGGGCAGGUGGAUAACAAAACUGGGGAGCAGGUAGGAGGGAGAGGGUCACGCGGGCUGUCUCAAAGGGGACAGGGUGUGUGGUGCCCUGCUGAGGUGAGUGGAGGGCCAGCGUCCCCACCAGGGUGCCACCUUCCUCUGGGGCAGAGCGGUGCUGUCUUCCGGCUCUUGCAGAGAUUAUCCACCUUUGAUGCCGGUGCCGCAGGAGUGUGAGCUGUGCCGAGGGGGUGGCGGGGCAGCGACUGCCUCCUGCUGAGUUUGCUCGGGUCUACUGUGGUGGGAAAGCAAGAGUAAUUACUUACAGGUGAUGGGUGGGUGGAUGGAUGGAUGGGUGGCGGUGCAAGACUUUUAACUCACUUCCAGAGAAAAACUGUUACAUCGAGAUUGGGUUCCUACCACUUUGCUGGGCUCCGCAGUCCUGUUAGGAUAAAGCAGUAACCGAAGAUGGGGUCUUAGUUACCCUGACAUUGUAACAGUGUAGGUUGACUGCCCUGCCGCUCCCCAGCACCACCACACACACUUUUGUUUAAACUUUUACUCAUUUGGCUUGGAGCCACCACUGCUCUGCAGUUGCAUUUCCCGAGGGGCUCUGCGGGCUCCACAGGCUGGAGCCCCGUCCUGGCUUUGAACCCCUACACACCCAGUCCGCCUGCUCGCCUGCCUCGUGCUGUUUCCUGAGUGAGGGCGGCCACUUAGCCUUCUUUGGAAGUGGGCAGACCUUAACCACAAGCCCCACGGAAGGCCUCUGCCGCACACAGCGCCCAAGACAGCAGGACCCAGCAGCUCCCCUGUCUCAUGCCGCGACGGGAGGCCAGGGUCACAGGGCGGGGGUGCCUGGCAGCCAGGCGCAGGGCGAUGUCAACAUGACCGGGGUCGGCUCCUACCCUCCCCAAAUGCCGGGCGGCAGGUUCCCAGCGGGCACUGCUCUGCUCUCACUGAUCCCAGACACACGAGGUUGGCAGGCGCUGCCACAAAGCACCAGGCUGUGCUGUGCUUCAAGGCCAAGUGGCUGCCUCCCCUUCCGCCCAGGCCUCGGGAACCCGCUCACGCUCACCUGGGCUCCUCCCCCAGGCAGAGACGGGGCAGCCUCUGCCCCCACGUCCCUGGCAGGGACCGGCUGACGGAUGUGGCUCCCAGCACAGCUCCUCCUGCACCUGCUGUGAAGCCAGCCCCCGUCUCUGCAGCUUUGGUAACAACCCCGACGUCCUCGCUAAGCGGCUCGGUAGGUGCUGAGAUUGCUACUCUGCGACCACCACAGGUUAAACGUUUUCCUUUACUUUUUUUUUUUUAAGAUUUAUUUAUUUAUUUCAAAGGCAGAGUUAGAGGCAGAGGUGUGGGGAGGAGGUCUUCUAUCAGUGGUUUAUUCCCUAUAUGGCCACAACAGCCAGAGCUGCACCGAUCCAGAGCCAGGAGCCAGGCGCUUCUUCCAGGUCUCCCAUGCAGGGGCUCAAGCACUUGGUCCAUCUUCUACUGCUUUCCCAGGCCAUAGCAGGGAGCUGGAUCGGAAGUAAAGCAGCCAAGACUUGAACUGGCACCCAUAUGGGAUGCUGGCACUGCAGGUGACGGCUUUAGUGACGGCUUUACCCGCUACUCCGCAGCACCGGUCCCUGCUUAAUUAGCUGUUGUCCUCGUUAUUUUAAUCCAACAACACUUAUUUAUCUGAUUCCCACGCUGGGCAGCUUGAGCUAUUUUAAAAAUCAAGUAGAGACUCCUCCAAGGAGGGCAUCACAGUGGCCUAGUCAGAUACGGCAGCGUGCCCCCUUACCUGUGAUUUUUAUUUUCUAUGGUUUAAAUUACCCACAGUCAACUGAGGUCUGAAAAUAUUAAAUGGAAAAUUCCAGAAAUAAAAAAUUCAUAAGCUUUAAAUAGAUUUUAUUG